AGCCAUGCACGUGUAAGUACAGGCUAUCAAAUGGUUGAAACUGCGAACGGCUCAUUAAAUCAGUCAUGGAUCAAUGGAUCGUACAAAUCUGACAUGGAUAACUGUGGUAAUUCUAGAGCUAAUACAUGCAACAUAGAUCAGACCCCGCGAGGGGGAAGAGCGCUCUUAUUAGAUCAAGACCAACCGGGCCUGGGGCCCGUCUCAUUUUGGUGACUCUGGAUAACACGUUGGCAGAUCGCACGGCCACGCGCCGGCGACGCUUCUUUCAAAUGUCUGCCUUAUCAACUGCGAUGGCAGGUGAGUUGCCUGCCAUGGUCGCAACGGGUAACGGGGAAUCAGGGUUCGAUUCCGGAGAGGGAGCCUGAGAAACAGCUACCACAUCCAAGGAAGGCAGCAGGCGCGCAAAUUACCCACUCCCGACACGGGGAGGUAGUGACGAAAAAUAACGAUGCGGGACUCUUUGGAGGCCCCGUAAUCGGAAUGAGUGCGCAUGUAAAAACUUGGACAAGGAUCUAUUGGAGGGCAAGUCUGGUGCCAGCAGCCGCGGUAAUUCCAGCUCCAAAAGCGUAUAUUAAAAUUGCUGCGUUUAAAACGCUCGUAGUUGGAUCUCCGGUGAGGGGUGGUCGGUGACGGCAAUGUGCCGUCCACUGGCUUCGGCUCGGUCGUCGUUGCCUGGUCGGCAGCGGCUGUUAGCGCGGUCGCGAUCGGCUCUGGUGGCGUGCGGUCGGUCGAGUUACAUCCCCACCUAGACUAGCCGGCGUCUCCUCGGGUGCUCUUGGUUGAGUGUCCUGGGGCGGCCUGGCCCGUUUACUUUGAGCAAACAGAAGUGAUCAAAGCAGGCAGUUCACUAAUGUGUGCCACUGAACUGGUCGUGCAUGGAAUAAUGGAAUAGGACCUCGGUUCUGUUGUGUUGGUUUCUGGAGUCCGAGGCAAUGAUUAAGAGGGACAGACGGGGGCAUUCGUAUUGCGGCGGGAGAGGUGAAAUUCUUAGAUCGCCGCAAGACGCUCUACUGCGAAAGCAUUUGCCAAGAAUGUUUUCCUUAGUCAAGAACGAAAGUCAGAGGUUCAAAGACGAUCAGAUACCGUCGUAGUUCUGACUGUAAACGAUGCCGACCGGCGAUGCGCCGACGUCGUAUCACAAAGACUCGGUGUGUAGCCCUCCCGGGAAACCUAGAGUACUUGGUUACGGGGGAAGUAUGGUUGCAAAGCUGAAACUUAAAGGAAUUGACGGAAGGGCACCACCAGGAGUGGAGCCUGCGGCUUAAUUUGACUCAACACGGGAAACCUCACCCGGCCCGGACACCGUGAGGAUUGACAGAUUGAGAGCUCUUUCUCGAUUCGGUGGUUGGUGGUGCAUGGCCGUUCUUAGUUGGUGGAGCGAUCUGUCUGGUUAAUUCCGAUAACGAACGAGACUCUGGCUUGCUAUAUAGUUCGCUCGUCGCCUCCGUGGUGGGCGAGCGUGGCAUACGGUUCGGCGGCCGUCCUCUCGGGCACCGUCGGGCCUUGUCAAUGGAACUUCUUAGAGGGACAAAUGGCUUUGAGUCAUGCGAGAUUGAGCAAUAACAGGUCUGUGAUGCCCUUAGAUGUCCGGGGCCGCACGCGCGCUACACUGAAGGAAUCAACGAGUGUUUCUCUCCCGGUCCGGAAGGAUCGGGCAACCUCUUGAACCUCCUUCGUGAUUGGGACUGGGCUUUGCAAUUGUUGCCCACGAACGAAGAAUUCCCAGUAAGCGCGAGUCACGAACUCGCGUUGAUUACGUCCCUGCCCUUUGUACACACCGCCCGUCGCUACUACCGAUUGGACGUUCGAGUGAGGGCUUUGGAUCGGCCCCAAUGCACACGGUGGGCAACUACCGUGGGCUCGGUGUUGCAGAAAAGAUGUUCAAACUCGAGCGUCUAGAGGAAGUAAAAAGUC
rnacentral:rRNA from 1 species